rnacentral:rRNA from 1 species
UACGUAGGUGGCAAGCGUUGUUCGGAAUUACUGGGCGUAAAGGGCGCGUAGGCGGUCCGCUAAGUCGGAUGUGAAAACUCUGGGCUCAACCCAGAGCCUGCAUCCGAAACUGACGGGCUAGAGUUCUGGAGGGGGUAGCGGAAUUCCUGGUGUAGCGGUGAAAUGCGUAGAUAUCUGGAGGAAUACCGGUGGCGAAGGCGGCAUCCUGGACCGGCAUUGACGCUGAGGAGCGAAAGCCAGGGGAGCAAACGGG